AACAUUCCUAAAUGUACUCUCACCGGCCGUGAAAGCCUUCAUAGUCUGAUACAAGGGAAAGAAUUAUAAAAUUUACUGUAGAUACUAGUCCAAUUGUCUGGACCACAUUUGGAUGAUGGCAAAUUAGUUAUAACAUGGGGUUUUGGCAGCAUCUACUUUCUUAUGUGAUUCGAUGGAUUUACAUUUUUUUCGAACUAGGAAGAUUCAAUCUAAAUUCGUCCAGUGUAGAGGAAUAUUGUAAAACAUCGUUUUGGCUACAUUUCAGUGAAUGUAGUACAAUGUAUGAAAAAGCAUCCGAGUGUUCAACACAUUAAGAGAAAACAAAAGUGUUUUCAAGUAGUUAUUUUUUCGAAUCAAAUGUGUUUAUCAACAGUUGAAAAAUGCCAUAUUUCACCAUAAAAAAAACAUUUGAUCAGGCGAAAUUUGAAAUUACUUAGAUUAACACUCUGAUGUGACCUGUCCAGUGAAUAUAGUUGUAGUUAGAAUAUAGUAGUACGUUACCAAACAAAUCCGAGUGAUUUUAAACAUAUUAUGAGGAUGUUUUUAMUCAUAUGAUACGAUUAAUCACUUUUGGUAAGAUUGUUUUUUAUAAUUCGAUAACGUUUCCUAAGAUUAAAAGAUACAUAGAAACAUUUGCGACAURUACAAAUGUUUUUUUAAUCAUACCCGACUUAUCAAUAGCUUAUCUAGUGGGUUCAUACUGAUAGCAAACCCUAAAGCCUGURUCAAAUGCAUCCGUUUAUACGAAAGUGUUUCUAUUGGUCGGAGAUCUGUCAGUUCGUACGACUUCGGACGAAUUAUUUGCAAACAGACAACAUUGAAGCAAUUACAGCUGCUCAGAAAAAUGAUGAGUUUUCAAGCGUUCUAGAAGUGAUAUAAUACAAAACGCAAUUUGAUAAAAAUUAAUUUAGACUCUAAAAUGGACGAAGCAAACGGGUUGAAAAUUGAAAAACCCAAAAAGCACAGUGAAAUCAGUGAAAGAGCAGCUAACUCAGAAAGUUUCCCUAAAGCCAAAAUACAAGCGAUUCAACCUGGAGUCGAAAAGCUGCGUAGAAACCAAAUCGGAAGAUAAAGCGAAAGAAAAAACGAAGAAAAAUGCAAGCUGAUAAACAUUUUGAACGUCCAGACGUUUAAGCUUCCUCUGUAGUUGUAAGAAUACUGGCACGUUAAACGCGUUGAUUCGCAAAACGCACUUGAAGUUGAGAAUCUGCUGGCAGAACCGAUUACGAAAAAUUCUGCAAAAGAGCCUUUGCAAAGCAAUGCAAUUACAGGUGUGAACAGUAUGUAAUAUAUUUCGUGAUUUUGAUUUUUCAAGAUCGAUAAGGACAUUGCAUGCAGCAAAAACGUCGUAUUUGUAUGUGUUAAUGACUGAGUAUAUCACACUUUUUCAAACAACUUGCCAACAUCAGUAGUUUGCAACCGCAUCAGCACCAAGAGUAUCAAGUACACCAAUCGCAAAGCCCAUAUAUAAUUGCGAAAAAAAAAUUCUAAAUACGACUGAUUCCGAGAUCAUCGAAGUGCUUCCUAUGCCUGAAGAACCCGAUAACCAUCCAGUAAAAGAAACAACUUCAAAGAUCAAACCGAAAGGCAAACCAAAACCAGUGAAAAAAAACAAGACAAAAGAACACGGUGAAGCAAAACACCAGAGCGAAAAUUUUUCAGAAUCGAACAAACCUUUGCUUGGUUUAGAGCCCGCAUUAGAGUUAAGCAUAAGGAUUAUUUUGCACUAUUUGAAGAAUCGCGUUGUAGGCACCUAGAAGCCGUUGCUAAAUACGCCAAUCAGCCGCCGUUGCUAAUGUUUGAACAAA